GAUUGGGAGGGGGUUACGACCCCUGCAUGGUGAACGAUAGUGCCAAGAAAAGCCGAAGACGUGAUGAAUAUUCAGUACCCGUACCCAAAACCGACACAGGUUGGGAGGUUGAGAAUACUAAGGGGCGCGAGGUAACUCUCUCUAAGGAACUCGGCAAAAUGGCCCCGUAACUUCGGGAGAAGGGGUGCCCUCUGUAAGGGGGGCCGCAGUGAAGAGUCCCAGGCGACUGUUUACCAAAAACACAGGUCUCUGCAAACUCGUAAGAGGACGUAUAGGGGCUGACGCCUGCCCAGUGCCGGAAGGUUAAGGAAGUUGGUCAGUCUUUGGAUGAAGCUGACGACCGAAGCCCCGGUGAACGGCGGCCGUAACAAUAACGGUCCUAAGGUAGCGAAAUUCCUUGUCGGGUAAGUUCCGACCCGCACGAAAGGCGUAACGAUCUGGGAGCUGUCUCGGAGAGAGGCUCGGCGAAAUAGGAUUGUCUGUGAAGAUACGGACUACCUGCACCUGGACAGAAAGACCCUAUGAAGCUUUACUGUAGCCUGGAAUUGGGUUCGGGCUUUGACUGCGCAGGAUAGGUGGGAGACUAUGACUUCAUCCUUGUGGGGAUGAAGGAGUCAUUGGUGAGAUACCACUCUGUCAAGGCUAGAAUUCUAACCUGUAGCCGUUAGCCGGCACGGGAACAGUUUCAGGUGGGCAGUUUGACUGGGGCGGUCGCCUCCUAAAUGGUAACGGAGGCGCGCAAAGGUUCCCUCAGGCUGGUUGGAAAUCAGCCAUCGAGUGUAAAGGCAUAAGGGAGCUUGACUGCAAGACUGACAAGUCGAGCAGGGACGAAAGUCGGCCUUAGUGAUCCGACGGUUCUGAGUGGAAGGGCCGUCGCUCAACGGAUAAAAGUUACUCUAAGGAUAACAGGCUGAUCUCCCCCAAGAGUUCACAUCGACGGGGAGGUUUGGCACCUCGAUGUCGGCUCGUCGCAACCUGGGGCUGAAGUAGGUCCCAAGGGUUGGGCUGUUCGCCCAUUAAAGCGGCACGCGAGCUGGGUUCAGAACGUCGUGAGACAGUUCGGUCCAUAUCCGGUGUAGGCGUAGGAGUAUUGAGGGGAGUCCUUCUUAGUACGAGAGGACCGGAAGGAACGCACCGCUGGUGUACCUGUUAUCGUGCCAACGGUAAACGCAGGGUAGCUAUGUGCGGAGUGGAUAACCGCUGAAAGCAUCUAAGUGGGAAGCCCACCCCAAGAUGAGUACUCCCAUGGGGUAACCCAGUAAGGUCACGGGAAGACCACCCGUUAAUAGGUGCUAUGUGGAAGUGCAGCAAUGUAUGAAGCAGAGGCAUACUAACAGACCGAGGGCUUGUCA
rnacentral:rRNA from 1 species